AUUGAACGCUGGCGGCCGGCCUAACACAUGCAAGUCGAGCGGAGCGGCGGCCGGGUGAGUAAUGCCUAGGAAUCUGCCUGGUAGUGGGGGAUAACGUCCGGAAACGUGCGCUAAUACCGCAUUCUAUCAGAUGAGCCUAGGUCGGAUUAGCUAGGUGGUGGGGUAAAGGCCUACCAAGGGGACGAUCCGUAACUGGUCUGAGAGGAUGAUCAGUCAGAGUGGAACGGGGACAAGGGCCAGAGUCUUACGGGAGGGAGCAGGGGGGAAUAUGGGGCAAGGGGCGAAAGCAGCAUGCAGCCAGGCCGGGUGGAUGAAGAAGGCAUUAGGGUUGUAAAGAAAUUUCAGCGGGGAGGCGUUACCCGCAGAACAAGCACCGGCUAACUCCGUGCCAGCCGCGGCGGUAAUU
rnacentral:rRNA from 1 species